CAGCCGCCACGGUAAUACGUAGGUGGCAAGCGUUGUCCGGAAUUAUUGGGCGUAAAGCGCGCGCAGGCGGUCCUUUAAGUCUGAUGUGAAAUCUUGCGGCUCAACCGCAAGCGGCCAUUGGAAACUGGGGGACUUGAGUGCAGGAGAGGGAAGUGGAAUUCCACGUGUAGCGGUGAAAUGCGUAGAGAUGUGGAGGAACACCAGUGGCGAAGGCGGCUUCCUGGCCUGUAACUGACGCUGAGGCGCGAAAGCGUGGGGAGCAAACAGGAUUAGAUACCCUGGUAGUCCACGCCGUAAACGAUGAGUGCUAAGUGUUAGGGGGUUUCCGCCCCUUAGUGCUGCAGCUAACGCAUUAAGCACUCCGCCUGGGGAGUACGGCCGCAAGGCUGAACCUUAGGAAUUGGCGGG
rnacentral:rRNA from 1 species